CCUACGGGUGGCAGCAGUGGGGGAUAUUGGACAAUGGGGGAAACCCUGAUCCAGCGACGCCGCGUGAGUGAAGAAGUAUUUCGGUAUGUAAAGCUCUAUCAGCAGGGAAGAAAGAAAUGACGGUACCUGAGUAAGAAGCCCCGGCCAACUACGGGCCAGCAGCCGCGGUAAUACGUAGGGGGCAAGCGUUAUCCGGAAUUACUGGGUGUAAGGGGAGCGUAGACGGUAAUGCAAGUCUGGAGUGAAAGGCGGGGGCCCACCCCCCGGACUGCUGUGGAAACUGUGUAACUGGAGUGCAGGAGAGGCAGGCGGAAUUCCUAGUGUAGCGGUGAAAUGCGUAGAUAUUAGGAGGAACACCAGUGGCGAAGGCGGCCUGCUGGACUGUAACUGACGUUGAGGCUCGAAAGCGUGGGGAGCAAACAGGAUUAGAUACCCUUGUAGUC
rnacentral:rRNA from 1 species